GGCGGAGACGAGGCCGCGGGGACCGCAGCGCCGGGCGACCACACCCUCGGUUUGGGGGACAAGCCUGCCUUUUGCGCACUUGGACUUUUCCCCACCCUCUUCUAAGUCUUAGUGCCUCCGUACCAGGUGACCGAAUAAACAACUGUGGUAGCUCUGUACAAUGGAGCGCUAUUCAGCACUGGAAAGAAAUGAAUUAUCAGAAAAGACAUGGAGGAUCCUAAAUGCACUUUGCUGAGUGGAAGAAGUCUGAAAACGCCAAAUACUGCAUGACUGCAACUCUGACAUUCUGAAAAGGACAAACCUAGUGGAGACAGUGGUUUCCAGGCUCAAGGAGAGGGAGUGAUGGAAGGCCGAACACAGAGGAUUUUUAGGGUCGUGAAACUAAUGAUGAAUACAUGUCAUUACGCAUUUGUCCAAACCCGUGGAAGGAACAACCCCAAGAGUGAGCCCUCAGAUAAAGAUUUGCCUGAGAUUCCCAAGCAUCUCAAUGCCGGUACCCACAGUUCCUACUCACAUUUGUCCAACGAAUGUGAAGAAAACAGCAACCAAAUGACAGCCACAGAAUUGCAUCAAAAUGCAUUUAAGGAGCAUCAGUGCGUUACCCCGGUUUCACGGGAGCCGGUGUUAUUCCAAGGGAAGCGAUGAAUCACGCAAGCCGUGUGGUACCUUUUCUUUGCAUCAUGCUGGGGAGAUGCUACCAGUUGAACUGGGUCCCCUAAGAUAGGCUGAAGUCUGGCCACAUGGCAGGUUUGUUUUCUUUUAUUUGGGGGAAUGUUUGUUUUAAACCGGACAACGUGCCUCUGUGGGGGUGUCAUCCUGUGUGUGGUGGGAUGCCUGGCACCAGCUCCAGCCUCUGCCCACGGGGUGCCUGGAGUACCACCCCAGUCCUGACAUCCAAAGCGCCUCCAGAUCUUCCCAUCGAGGGGAACCAAGGAUGUAUGCCGUCGGGCAGGAGGCUGACUGACGCAUGUGUAUGUUUUGAGUUGUGGACUCUGAGUCGGAAUUGUGAGAUGUUGGCUUAACUGGGACAAAGAAAGCAGUCCUCGUGGGCUGAAUCGUGUCCCCCAAAGGUGGGUGGAAGUCCUAAUCUGGGUGCCUGUGAGCGUGGACUGACCUGGAAACAGGGGCUGCAGGGGUAGCCGUGAUGAGGUCCCCUGAAGGGGCCCCCGUCCGGGGUGACGCAGGUCCAGACCAAUGCGGUCUGGGAGGACGCAGCCCUGCCCCCGCUCAGCUAACCCGAGGGCGACACUCGCAAGUGUAACCUCGCGCCCCCGCUGCUCACCCCGGUGGUAAGACCCCAGGAUUCACAGGCGCGGUGAGCAGUUCUGCAGGCGGGUUCCACGCCCUGGUGCUGAGCUGUGGUGAGAACGUGACCAUGAAUCCUUCCCCGCCGCCCGAGGAUGUGGUUAGAGCAGAUGCCUGUAAAGAAAGAAACGUGUACAUGCGUGUAAGGAGCUCUGCCUUUGUGAUGAACAGGGACAGGUGUCCGGGUGUGAGUGUGAGCAGGUGAGCGGGGACAGGUGUCCGGGUGUGAGUGUGAGGCUGCCAUCCUGCCUCGUUAGCUGGGAGCCCUUGCGUGGGUUUCUCUAGCUGCAUGAGAGCCACUCUUUGGUCUGAGCCUGGGCACCCAGGUCCCCUCCUUCGGAAAGUACUUUGGGAGUAGUUUAGGGAACUUUCUAGAAGUCUGGUGGUUUUACCCAUGUGACAUUCCACAGCUGGCCUGUCUCCUCAUUCGUGACUUGAGGCUCCUCAGACACGAACUCUACUUGCCGGCGGAGAUGACUUGGCAUCCGUGGAUGUGAUCAAAAGAAGCCGCUCCUAGAGGUGGCCCCUGUGAACGCUCAUCUCUGCUGUGGCCUCACCAAGCGUUGCUGCAGGACUUCUCAGAGCCUUUGGAAACUGUGUGAUCAGUAAGGAUACAGGGCCCAGCCUCUCCCAAAGGUACUCAACCCCACACGCUGCCCUGUUUCCAAACCUUCGUUUUGAAGUGCCUCCAAUCUCUCAGGAAGUUGCAGAACCCGUCCACAGAGGUCCCGGGUUUGCUCCCUGUGUUUACUUUGUGGUCGCAGCCAUUUGCAGGCUCGGAUUCUUUGAGAAACUGCCUCGGACAGCCAGGCCCUGGUUUUUAACCACGGUCUCCUGCUUCUGCCAAGACAAAGAGGAUCAACGCCCGCACGAAAACGGAGGGGUCCUCACAUUUAGCCAAGGACAUCCAUUCGUUUGCAAACAGCACGCACAACUGCUGAGUGCAAGCGCGGCUCCUGUGUGCAGAGGGCCAGACCCCUCGUGUGCAUGUGUCAAUUUUUAGCAGCAGUUCCAGGCAAAUUAAAUUAAAUUAAAUUAAAACCCAGCUGUCGCAGAUGUCCUGGCCCCGCCCUGCCUUUGAGUGGCUCUCCUUCCUCGGCCCCUGCAGCCCCGGCCCACUUCUCCCAUCACGUGAGACAUGGGCCCUGGGCCCCGGGCCGCCGCCGGCCGCACCUCUGCAUGAGCCGGGCCUGCUGUCUCGUGGGAGCUCCUGCCUCUGCCUGGAGAAACCGCGGUUGGGCUACAGGCCUCGGCUGGAUGUUCUCACCCACGAAGGCUGGUGCUCCGCUAAAACCACCCCCUUCCCUCCCCUGCUUCCAGGGCCACAUGGUAUCGGUCAGAAUUUUCCUGCCUGGGCCAGAAACCCAGCUGAGACUGACUUCUGCAAAAGGGGGUCAUUUACUGACCAAACUUGGGAAAGACGGAGAUGCCAGGAAGCAGAGCCUGGGCUGAGGGCAAAGCCGUCCUGGCCUCGCUCCGAGCAUCAUCAGCCAGUGUCCCAAAGCCCGUCCGUGGGAGAGCCCACGGUGGCCAUGACCCGACCACAGCCCACGGCCACCCCCGGAAGGAAGGGCUCUGUCCCCCCGCAGCACAGCAAGUCUGGGAAGGACGCUGGGGCCCUUGCUGGGCCGGGGGCCGCCGAGACGGGGCUGGGCCGGGAUGUCUGUAGGCAGCUUCCUCUCGGAGCACAGAGUCAGGCUAGUGGGACACGAGCUGGGCCAGUGAUGGAGGACGGAGCAUGAGCUGCCACUUGCAGGACGGUCCCACUUCUACCAAGAGUGGAGCACCGCUGACACCCUGGACACACACGGACCUGCUGUGUCUGCCUUCCGGAUGGACAGCUCAGUGGCGGAAAACGUAGUAUCUUCCUGACCUUUCUGCCUCCGGAGAGCAGCGUGGGGGCCCAGGAAUGUUUGCUGAGUCGAAUAGUCAUAACUAAGGUUAUUUUUCAGGGACGAACUUAACGUAGCAGGAUUCAUGAAGUUGGUGAGAUUUCGGAUCUUUGCAUAUUUUCAUUGAACCGUGGUGGUGGUGGGGGAGGGGUGUCAAGGAGGAGGCUGAGAUUUCCUCAAGGUCACCUUUCCUCCAUCGCAGACCUGUUUAUCUGCCCUCACCUGUCAUUAAUUCUCCAAUGGAGAUUAAAAAAAAUAAUAAGAAUAAAGCAAAGAUUUACUG
ensembl:lncRNA